GAUGAACGCUGGCGGCGUGCCUAAUACAUGCGAGUCGAGCGAACAGACGAGGAGCUUGCUCCUCUGACGUUAGCGGCGGACGGGUGAGUAACACGUGGAUAACCUACCUAUAAGACUGGGAUAACUUCGGGAAACCGGAGCUAAUACCGGAUAAUAUAUUGAACCGCAUGGUUCAAUAGUGAAAGACGGUUUUGCUGUCACUUAUAGAUGGAUCCGCGCCGCAUUAGCUAGUUGGUAAGGUAACGGCUUACCAAGGCAACGAUGCGUAGCCGACCUGAGAGGGUGAUCGGCCACACUGGAGCUGAGACACGGUCCAGACUCCUACGGGAGGCAGCAGUAGGGAAUCUUCCGCAAUGGGCGAAAGCCUGACGGAGCAACGCCGCGUGAGUGAUGAAGGUCUUCGGAUCGUAAAACUCUGUUAUUAGGGAAGAACAAAUGUGUAAGUAACUAUGCACGUCUUGACGGUACCUAAUCAGAAAGCCACGGCUAACUACGUG
rnacentral:rRNA from 1 species